GAUGAACGCUAGCUGGAGGCUUAAUACAUGCAAGUCGAGCGGGAUUGGGUAGCAAUACCCAUGAGAGCGGCGCACGGGUGAGUAACGCGUACACGACCUACCUCUGACAGGGGGAUAGCCCUGGGAAACUGGGAUUAAUACCGCAUAUUAUUCUGAAUAAUAAAGGUUUGGAAUGAAAGCUGAGGCGGUCAGAGAUGGGUGUGCGUCUGAUUAGCUAGUUGGUAGGGUAACGGCCUACCAAGGCGAUGAUCAGUAGGGGGCGUGAGAGCGUGGUCCCCCACACGGGUACUGAGACACGGACCCGACUCCUACGGGAGGCAGCAGUAAGGAAUAUUGGUCAAUGGGCGAAAGCCUGAACCAGCCAUCCAGCGUGCAGGAAGAAGGCCCUAUGGGUUGUAAACUGCUUUUAUCAGGGAAGAAACCUCUGGAUUUACUCCGGAGCUGACGGUACCUGAAGAAUAAGCACCGGCUAACUCCGUGCCAGCAGCCGCGGUAAAGUCGA
rnacentral:rRNA from 1 species